rnacentral:rRNA from 1 species
AAGGCGCUUUCGGGUGUCGCUGAUGGAUGGACCCGCGGUGCAUUAKCUAGUUGGUGAGGUAACGGCUCACCAAGGCCACGAUGCAUAGCCGACCUGAGAGGGUGAUCSGCCACMCUGGGACUGAGACACRGCCCAAACUCCUACGGGAGGCAGCAGUAGGGAAUCUUCGGCAAUGGACGAAAGUCUGACCGARCAACGCCGCGUGAGUGAAGAAGGUUUUCGGAUCGUAWAACUCUGUUGUUAGAGAAGAACAAGGACGWUAGUAACUGAACGUCCCCUGACGGUWUCUAACCAG